UUCAUUAGAUGGCUCGUCUUCAUCAUCUGCAGCAACAACCCUAUCUCCAUUUCUCUGAGAUUUUAGAAGACACACAUGGCCAAAUUCAUAAGGAUCAUAGUAGGUUGGUAGGCCAUCACAUUUAGCCAGAAAUCUGGGACGAAACCGAUGCAGUGAAUUUAGUACAUCUUCAUAUAUCUCAGAAACUUGAUGUAGAGAUGACUGCACAAGAUUAUGAAAUGAGCACCAUUCCUCUUCAAUCUUCAGUAGCAGAGAUGUCACAGCUUUCAUUUCAUCAAACCUAGAAAGUC
rnacentral:misc_RNA from 1 species